rnacentral:misc_RNA from 1 species
GAUGAAGAACGCAGCGAAAUGCGAUAAGUAAUGUGAAUUGCAGAAUUCAGUGAAUCAUCGAAUCUUUGAACGCACAUUGCGCCCGCCAGCAUUCUGGCGGGCAUGCCUGUUCGAGCGUCAUUUCAACCCUCGAGCCCGACUUCCUUGCGGAGGACGGCUCGGCGUUGGGGGACGGCACACUCCCCCCGGCUCGCCGGGGACGCCGCCCCCGAAAUUCAGUGGCGGCCCUCGGAGGCGACCUCUGCGUAGUACCUCAACCUCGCAAAGGGAAGCUCCGAGCGGCCACGCCGUGAAACCCCAACUAUAUCAAGGUUGACCUCGAAUCAGGUAGGACUACCCGCUGAACUUAAGCAUAUCAAUAAGCGGAGGA